rnacentral:rRNA from 1 species
GGCUCAGAAUGAACGCUGGCGGCGCGCCUAAUACAUGCAAGUCGAGCGAGAAGACGUAGCAAUACGUUUGUAAAGCGGCGAACGGGUGAGGAAUACAUGGGUAACCUACCCUAGAGUGGGGAAUAACUAGCCGAAAGGUUAGCUAAUACCGCGUACGCUUCUUGGACUUCGGUUCAGGGAGGAAAGCGCUACCGAGGGUAGCGCGCUCUUGGAUGGGCUCAUGUCCUAUCAGCUAGUUGGUGAGGUAAUGGCUCACCAAGGCUUCGACGGGUAGCUGGUCUGAGAGGACGAUCAGCCACACUGGCACUGCGACACGGGCCAGACUCCUACGGGAGGCAGCAGUAAGGAAUAUUGCGCAAUGGGCGAAAGCCUGACGCAGCGACGCCGCGUGGGGGAUGAAGGUCUUCGGAUUGUAAACCCCUUUCGGGAGGGAAGAUGGAAUGGGUAACCAUUCGGACGGUACCUCCAGAAGCAGCCACGGCUAACUUCGUGCCAGCAGCCGCGGUAAUACGAAGGUGGCAAGCGUUAUUCGGAUUUACUGGGCGUACAGGGAGCGUAGGCGGUUUGGUAAGCCCUCUGUGAAAUCGUCAGGCUUAACCUGGAAAAGUCGGAGGGGACUGCUGGGCUAGAGGACGGAGAGAGCGCGUAAGUGUUUCGCCCCACGCGUUUAUUUAGUAGAGA